CAGCAUGUCAGAUUUGCAGAAGACAAAUGCAGUUUUUAUUGUGUUAUUUGUCAUUUUGACUGCAAGUGUGAUUAUUAUAUUCAUUCUCACUUACAUCCUCAUGAAGAAAACUUGUCACUGUUCAAAUGAUGCUAAAGGGGGUCAUGAUGAUCAGCAGAUUCAGCAGAGAGGCGAGAACUCGUUGGUUUACAGUGCUCCCAUAUUGACCAACAGGAAAGCUGCCAGAACAGAGAG